rnacentral:rRNA from 1 species
AUUGAACGCUGGCGGCAUGCCUUACACAUGCAAGUCGAACGGCAGCACGGGAGCAAUCCUGGUGGCGAGUGGCGAACGGGUGAGUAAUGCAUCGGAACGUGCCCAGUCGUGGGGGAUAACGCAGCGAAAGCUGUGCUAAUACCGCAUACGAUCUCUGGAUGAAAGCGGGGGACCGAAAGGCCUCGCGCGAUUGGAGCGGCCGAUGUCAGAUUAGGUAGUUGGUGGGGUAAAGGCUCACCAAGCCAACGAUCUGUAGCUGGUCUGAGAGGACGACCAGCCACACUGGGACUGAGACACGGCCCAGACUCCUACGGGAGGCAGCAGUGGGGAAUUUUGGACAAUGGGCGCAAGCCUGAUCCAGCAAUGCCGCGUGUGUGAAGAAGGCCUUCGGGUUGUAAAGCACUUUUGUCCGGAAAGAAAUGGCUCUGGUUAAUACCUGGGGUCGAUGACGGUACCGGAAGAAUAAGGACCGGCUAACUACGUGCCAGCCGCCGCCGUAA